UACAGAGGGUGCGAGCGUUGUUCGGAAUUACUGGGCGUAAAGCGCGCGCAGGCGGCCCUUUAAGUCCGUCGGUCAAAUGCCGGGGCUCAACCCCGUUGCAUGCCGCGGAUACUGGAGGGCUGGAGACACGUAGAGGCAAGCGGAAUUCCGGGUGUAGCGGUGGAAUGCGUAGAGAUCCGGAAGAACACCGGAGGCGAAGGCAGCUGCCUGGCCUAGAACUGACGCUGAGGUGCGAAAGCGUGGGGAGCGAACAGG
rnacentral:rRNA from 1 species